GACGCACGCUGGCGGCGUGCCUAAUACAUGCACGUAGAACGCAGUUGCGAACGGGUGAGUAACGCGCAGGUAACUGCCUCCUACCGGGGUAUAACUAUUGUACACGAUAGCUAAUACCGCAUACUGUGAGCUGGACCUGCGUUGUAUUAGUUAGUUGGUGAGGUAAAGGCUCACCAAGGCGACGAUACAUAGCCGACCUGAGAGGGAGGACGGGCAGACUUGGGCUGAGAAACGGCCCAGACUCGUAAGGGAGGAAGCAGGAGGGAAUCUUGGGCAAGGGACGGGAGUGUGACCGAGCAACGACGCGUGAGUGAAGAAGGUUUUCGGAUCGUAUGGCUCUGGUGUUAGAGAAGCGGUAACUAACCAGAAAGGGCCGGCUAAUUUCGGGCCAGCAGCCGCGGUAAUAC
rnacentral:rRNA from 1 species